UAAUUAUAAAGUACCAAAGACAGUAGGAGCGAAAUAAUUCGCAUAACUAAUAUUCCUACCGAGGACUAAAUUCAAAUAUAGGAUUUUAAGGUCUUCAUGUCUUUUGCAUGAGGCCUUUUAAUUUA
rnacentral:sRNA from 1 species